rnacentral:lncRNA from 1 species
GGGCGAGGCACCGAAGAGACCCCGCUGGCCUCGCUGCCGCCGGGAUGCGGGGGUCGCGGGCUCCCAGCGCGCUCCGCGGCGGCCAUGGCGCCCGCCGCCGCCCCGACCCAGUCCGCGCCGCUUCCUGGCGUCCUCACCUUCCGAAGCGGAGUCGUCGGGGGCCGCGGCGGCCGUGAUCGCGGGCGCCGUCGUCGCUGCUGCCGCCGCCGCCGCCGGGGCGGGCUGGCUAGGGGCGGCCGCCGUGGCGUCCGGUUCAGGGUCGGGAUCGGGGACGGGGUCGGGGUCCCGGCCUGGCGUGCUGCUGCGGGGCCCCGGCGGAGAGAGCUGCAGGAUGGGCCUGCGGCCGGGUACCGCCCGCGACUUCUUCCCCAUCGCGAGCCGGAACGCGAGCGGCGAGCGUCGGCAGCCGAGAGGGGCGGGCGCGGCGCGGAUCUUGACGUGUAGUUCAGGCCUUACGUAUCCCAGGCUGUCCUGGAACCUGCAAUCCUCCUGGCUCAGCCUCCCGCGUAGCUGGGGUUACAGGCGUUCGUCACCAGGCCUGUUGGUACCCAUCUACCUCUGUGUUGUGCUUAAGAAAUACCAGUGGUUGCUCUUCAUAGGUCUUGCUAACUUGCCUAGGUUGGCCUGGAAUCUGUGAUCCUCCUGCC